CAAAAUCUUAUUGAGCAAAAACAUUAAAAUAGUCCUACCUCCCAAGCGUCAUGUAUCUCAUGGAGAUGGUGCUGGAGGGAAACUCAUAGGAUACAGCUAUGAGAAAACAUAUACCCUAUGCUAAUCUCAUGCUUUUAUCUUUCACGUAAAUCCAUACCCCCUAGCAGCAGUGUCCAGUAAAGCAGAAAGUCUAUGGAUGGGGUAAAAGGGUGGGCCACUGACGCAAAUCACAUAACCAGAACUGCCGAAAGGGGCGAACACAAAAAGGGGGCAUGUCGGUGUCCCCAUGUCUCCCAGUCCCUUAGUGUCUCUAUCCCCAUGUCUCCCAGUGUCCCCAUGUCAGUAGGACACUAGGGGACAAUAAGAGACAUUGGGACACUGGGAGACCUGGGGACACUAAGGGACACUGGGUGACCUGAGACAAGAGGGGACUUUGGGACACAGACACUGUGAUACAUAGGGG